rnacentral:misc_RNA from 1 species
AAGUCGUAACAAGGUUUCCGUAGGUGAACCUGCGGAAGGAUCAUUAUCCUUUUUAGCGUAGUGCUACCUAAAUAGUACUACAAGCGUUUAGCACGUAUGUGUUAUGCGUAAAAAUUCACUUCAUCUCUAGAUAGCAUUAUUUAGAGGUGAACAAAUCAAAUCCAUGUUCGCGUGAACAUGGUCGGGUACCUAUGCUAAGCGGUAAAGCUCUCCUUUAUCGUGUGGCUUAAAGAGUAUUCUAUCGUGAAUAACGCCCGUAUUAGCAAAAAUAAUUUUAUACUAUUUUUAAAAUCGCAUUAAAUUUCUAUUGUGUAUAAUAUGUGCUUUCUUUAUGAAAACACUGAUAACACAAAUACAACCCUAUGCGGUGGAUCACUUGGCUC